CCUACGGGGGGCAGCAGUGAGGAAUAUUGGUCAAUGGGCGCGAGCCUGAACCAGCCAAGUCGCGUGAGGGAAGACGGUCCUAUGGAUUGUAAACCUCUUUUGUCGGGGAGCAAAAGACGCCACGCGUGGCGUUCCGAGAGUACCCGAAGAAAAAGCAUCGGCUAACUCCGUGCCAGCAGCCGCGGUAAUACGGAGGAUGCGAGCGUUAUCCGGAUUUAUUGGGUUUAAAGGGUGCGCAGGCGGAAGAUCAAGUCAGCGGUAAAAUUGAGGGGCUCAACCUCUUCGAGCCGUUGAAACUGGUGUUCUUGAGUGAGCGAGAGGUAUGCGGAAUGCGUGGUGUAGCGGUGAAAUGCAUAGAUAUCACGCAGAACUCCGAUUGCGAAGGCAGCAUACCGGCGCGGAACUGACGCUGAGGCACGAAAGUGUGGGUAUCGAACAGGAUUAGAUACCCGAGUAGUC
rnacentral:rRNA from 1 species